rnacentral:lncRNA from 1 species
GUGUGUGUCCUCCAGGAGCUGCGGGGACCCCUGCGGCCGGACCUUGCGACCCGUUUUCCAAUCCCGCGGUGGCGACGGCGACAGCAACGGUAAUAGUAUCGCCAGGAGAAAACAGGUACUGAGCCCUCCGCCAGCCAGGACAGUGCCAAACGGCUUAGCUGUAUCCUCAUUGGAUCCUUACUAGGAGCCCAGAGGUUGAGUGACUUCUCCAGGGUCACCGGGUCAGCCCCGCCAGCUGAGUCCAGAGCUGAUACAGAGGACAGAGACAGUAGGAGGUGGAUACGCUCAUCGGUCUACCCUUCACAGAUGGAGAAACUGAGGCCCAGAGAGGUGAAGUGACUUGUCCAAGGUCACACAGCUGCCAACGGCACAAGUGGGAUCUGAACCCAUGACCCAUCUGCGCCAGAGGGGUCAUGGCGGGAAGACUCCAGUCUCCAUCCCAAACCGUUGUCACCCCCCACAUAGGUAGAAAGCACCUUGCCAUUUUCUCCAUCAUCUUUAGCAGCACUCAAAUAACCAGGUUUUUGAUCCUCUUAGAGGUAAACUGAGGCCUGGAGACAUAUCUUCCUCAACUCAGGUGGGGGUUACAUGGGGCAAACCCAUGUUAAGUUGAAAAUAUCCUAUGUUGAAAAUGCAUUUAGGGGGCACCUGGGUGGUUCAGUCCGUUAAGUGGCCAACUUUGGCUCUUGUCAUGAUGUUCGGGUCAUGAUCUUGGCUUCAUGAGUUCGAGCCCCACAUUGGGCUCUCUGCUGUCAGAGCAGAGCCCGCUUUGGAUCCUCUCUCUCCCUCUCUCUGCCCUCCCCUGCUUGUACUCUCUCUCUCUUUCUCUCUCUCUCUCAAAAUUAAAUAAACAUUAAAAAAAAAAAAGAAAAUGCAUUUAGUAUAUCUAAGAUACAGAACAUCACAGCUUAGCCUAGCCCACCUUAAAUGUACUAAGAACACAUACAUUAGCCUACAGCUGGGCAAAAUCAGAUCUAACACAAAGCCUACUUUGUAAUAAAGUGUUGAAUAUGUCCCGUAAUUUGUUGAAUAUUGUACUGAAACUGAAAAACAGAAUGGUUGUUAAGCAAUUUUAACUGCUCUUGAUUAUGUGACCAACUGGGAGCUACAGCUUGCUGCAUGGUGAGAAAGUAUCAUAGGGCAUAUCGCUAGCCUGGGACAAGAUCCAAAUUGAAAAUUCCAAGUCCAGUUUCUACAGAAUGCAUAUAGCUUUCACCCCAUCGUGAAAUCAAAAAAUUGUAAGUCAAGCCAUCAUUUAAGUCUGGAACCACCUGUAGUGAUAAUUAACAGGCAUUCACAGUCAUGGGACUUCCUAAAGGCAUGUUCUUAGCAAUGAACAUGAAUUAACUUAAAUGCUCACAACAACCCCAUGAAGUUAGUAUUAUUAUCAUGAUCCCCAUUUUGUGGUUGAGGAAACUGAGCCCCAGAGAGGCAGAGUGAUUUGUCAGGGAUUACGGAGGCAGUAGGGCUACAAACCACUCUUUGAACUCAGGCAGACCGGGAAGGAAGGAAUCUGUAACGCUGACCAUUUUGCCAUAUUGCCUCAGCACUGUUUAAUGUACAGGUAGUUAGUGACAGAGGAGCUGGGACUGGGGCCUGAGUGUCUAAGCUUUCACUGUGACACCAGCAAUGCCUUUCCUUCCUUCUCUCCCUCUUAAUCCUUUGCCUGAUGUAUAGUUUCCAUUACACACACACACACGCACACACACACACACACACACACACACACCCCAGUUGCACCAAAUAAAACAGGAAUGGUGAUUGAAUGUGAGAGACCCCCCCCACCCCCACCCCUGCCAAGGACUUAGGGAGAUAGGAUUGGUUUCUGUGAUUUUUUUAUUGGCCGAGGCUCCCCUCAGGGUGAGUUUUUAAGGGAUAAUUUCUUUCAAGUGAUAAUGCUCCUUGGCUGGUUGCUUUGAGAUUUAUACAUCUAACGAAUACUUAUUGAGCAUCUAUUAUACGCCAGGGCUUGCUAGGAACAAGAGAAAGUUGCUGUUCCUAUGCAGUUCGCAGUCUUAGGGUUGGGUUUUUUGUUGUUGUUGUUGUUGUUGUUUGAUUUUUUUAAGUUAUCUUUAAACCCAACAUGGGGCUCGAAUUCAUGACCCCAAGAUCAAGAGUCAGAUGCUCUACUCACUGAGUCUCAGAGUGCCCCCAAAGUGUUGGGGGUUUUUUAAAGUAUUUUUUAUGGUAGGAGGGCAGGUUAAUUAAAUAAUCACAUAAAGCAAAGGCUAUUUACAGCUUUGGUAGAAGCUGGGAAGAAAAAGUGGAAGAGGGCCANNNNNNNNNGGGCCCCGGCCUGCUGGCAGUGGAGGUCAAGGAAGGCUUCUGGGGGGAAGGAGUUUAUGCACUGAGAUGCAAGCGAUGAGUCCAGUCUUGGGCCUGGAUUGUGUUCCAGGCUGCAGAAAACAGCUUACGGAAAAGCCAUGAAACAGGACAGAGCAGGCCGUCAGUAGAACUAGAAGAUGGUCUGGGUGGCAGGAAUCCAGAGAGUGAAGCAGAUGGGACCCAUCUGGGGCAAGACAGAUCAGAAGGCUUGCAGGAUCUUUUUGGUCAACGGGGGGGGGGGGGGGGGGGGGGGGGGGNGGCCCUAAGAGCAACGGGGAGCCACUGUUGGUUUCAAGUGGGGCAAAACGGACAUUUUCCAUUUUCGUAUGAACGUUUUGUUCAUUAAUUCUUUCAACAAAUAUUGAUUAAGCAAACAUAUGAAAGGGUUCUUAACAUCAUCAGGGAAAUGCAAAAAAAAAAACCCAAAAAACAAGAAACAAAACAAACAAACCCAAACCCAGCCAUUACAAUUUACCAGAGUGACAGAAAUGAAAAUACCAAGCUUCAGCAAAGAUACGGAAGUAAAACUCCUCUGUUAGCGGGGAUGGACGUUGGUUCAACCACUUUGGAAAGCUGCUAGAUAAUUUCUGCUGAAGCUAAACAUAGGAUUACACAGGGGCACAGCAACUCCACUGCUUUCUGGGAGAUGGGAGUGCUUAUGUUCACUGAAAAACAUCUAUAAAAAAUGUUCAUAAGAGCUUUGUUCAAAAAGCCCAAAACUAGAUGUCACUGAGUGGCCCAUCCGUAGUCAAAAGGGUGAAUGAAUUGUGCCCUAUGCACACAAUAGAUCACUACACAGCCAAAAAAAUUAAAAAAAAAAAAAAAAAAAGAAUCAGACUGCUGGGGUGCCUGGGUGGCUCAGUUGGUUAAGCGUCUGACUCUUCGUUUCGGCUGGGGUCAUGAUCUCCCAGUUCAUGGGUUCGAGCCCCGAACUCUCUCUCCCUGAUUCUCUCUCUCUCUCCCUCUCUCUCCGCCCCUCCCUGGCUUUCUCUCUUUCUCAAAAUAAAUAAAUAAACUUCAAAAAUCUUAAAAAUUAGAAAAGAAUCAAACUGCUAACACAUAUAACAGAAAGAAAGAAUGGAAUCUCACCAAACGCAGGAAGGAGCAGAAAAAGCUAGGCACAAAAGAGUACAUUUGUUCACAACACCGUUUAUAGGAGGAUCAAACACAGUCACCGCUAAUAGAUUUUAAAUGUUUUUCUUUAAAUGUUUAUUUUUAUUUUUGAGAGAGCAUGAGCAGGGGAGGGGCAGAGAGAGAGGGGGACAGAGACUCUGAAGCAGGCUCUGUGCUGAUGGCAGGAAGCCUGAUGGGGGGCUCGAACCCACGAACCGUGAGAUCAUGGCCUAAGCCGAAGUCAGACACGCAACUGACUGAGCCACCCAGGCGCCCCACAACUAAUAGAUUUUGAUUAGAGUCAGAAUAAUGGUUACGUGUGAAGGGGGUAUUGAUUAGGAAGGGAUACAAGAGAAACUCCUCAGUAGCUGGUAAAGUUCUAUAACUGGAUCUGGUGGUAGUUCCAUGGUUUACACAUACACAUUUUAAAAUUCACUGAGCUAGAUGCUCAGGGUGGUUGUACUUUGCUCUAGAAAAGUUACACCUAAUGCAGAAACGUUAAAUAGAGAAUGAAUAAAUGCUAAGUAUGAGUAAUAAAUAACGAGCAUACCAUUUUCCAGGAAUAGGCAAGGUAAUGAGCAAGGUCCCAUAGCUGGGAUGUGGCAAAGACAAGGCCCAGCCCUGCUCUGACCUGCCAAGCCCUCCCCGUGCUUCUCCCGCAGCCAUAGACCCGAAGGCCUUCCCUUCUCUUCUCUGUCCCCUUCCUCCCCAUCUUCAGCCCUUGUACAAUUAAGAAACACCCUAGACCAAGAGGCUCUGGGCCCUGAGCCAAACCCACCCAGUGGACAGCCUACAAAAUAAAGGAUGAUGAAAAUGCAGGAUGGAGAUUUCAAGCACCAGCCCCUCUGCUAGUACGUGAUUCAGUGAAUCCAGCCGACAAGAAUGCCCAAGAGAUCCUUUUUAGUUCUCCCUGAAUCCUAGCACCCUGUUCCUGUCGGUUUAUUUUAUAGUACUGGUCACUAUUUGCAACCAUUUAAUUGCUCAUUUGCUCCACAGAGGCCUCCCCAGCCACACUGGAAGGUACCAGCCAUUGCUGUCGCUCUCGGGGACUGCUACACCAGCCUCCUUCCUGGUGUCCUGUGCUUGCCCCUUCCCACUACCAUCAGCAGCCAGAGGGGUCCUGUUAAAAGCAAGGCACCUACACACCGCCCCCCUACCCCCCCGCACAGAACCUGCAAUGGCCUCCCCACCAUGCUUAGUCCACAACCCGACCAGAUACCAUCCAGCAAUUCCAUUUCUGGGUCAGCACCCACAAGAAUUGAACGCAGGGACCCAAACAGAUAUUUGCACCCUAAGUUGAUAGCAUCAUUAUUCCGGAGAGCCAAGCAAUGGAAGCCAUCCAAGUGUCUGCCCACUGAUGAAUAAAGCAAAUGUGGCCUCUGCAUACGAUGGAAAAUGACUCAGCCUUAAAAACGAAAGAAAUGUUGACACAGGCUACAAACUCUGAGCCUUGAAGAUGCUGUGCUAAAUGAGAUAAGGCAGUCAAAGAAGGGCCGAUAUGGUGUGAGUUCUCAGAGUAUUCAAAUUCGUGGGGAUGAAGAGUAGAAUGGUGGUUGGCAGGGGCUGUGGGGAGGGGAGAAGUGGGGAGUUCGUGUUUAAUGGAUGUGAACUUGGAGUUCUGCAAGAGGAGAGCACGCUGGGGAUGGACGUGGUAAGAUCUGCCCAACAGUGUGGACGUGCUUCAUGCCACAGAAACGUCCCCUUAAAAAAUGCUUAAGAUGCUUGGGGUCACCUGGGUGGCUCAGGUCAUGAUCUGCAGGUUCGUGAGUUCCAGCCCCAUGUUGGGCUCUGUGCUGACAGCUCAGAGCCUGGAGCCUGCUUCGGAUUCUGUGUCUCCCUGUCUCUCUGCCCCUCGCCCACUCACUCUCUGUCUCUCUCUCAAAAAUAAAUAAGUAUUUUGUUGUGUGUAUUUUGCCACAAUAAAAGAAAUUAGAAUAAAAGAAGCAAAAUAGAGCAGUUAAAAAAAAAAUCCUACGAGGCGGCCCCGUGUGACCAAGCCCCUGGCCAUCUCCAACGUCAUCUUAUACCUCUUUGUCCUCAGUCCCUGUUCAGCAGGCACACGGAGGGCUUUCUGUCUCUCGAACACGCCAAGCUCAUUCUCACCUCCUGCCUUCAACUCCUGCUAAGCCCUCUGCCUGGAGCCUUCUUCCCCCAGAUCUUCAAGUGGCCCUUGCUUCCCCUCAGGGCUCCCAGAGGCUUUCCCUAAUUGACUUACGCUGAGUAACCCCACUCCCUCUAACUCACCACCUGCUUUAUUUUCAUGCUAGCAUUUAACACUACCUGAAAACGCUUAAUUGGCUCUUCUCUCCUCCUAGAUGAAAAACAUGCCCUUGUCUUCCUUCACGAACUCACUCAACAAGUAUUUAUGGAGCAUCAGGCAGUGUCCUGGCCAGGAGCCAGCAAACAACCACCAGCCCUUUGUUUUUGCAAAUGAAGUCUUAUUGGAGCGCAGUCCCAUACGUUUCUUUAUGCCUGUUUUUAUGGCUACUGUAUCCCUACAACCUCAGAGCUGAGUAGUUCCAACAGAGACGGUCAGAUUUGGGAACCAAAAAAUCCUGCUGGGUCCUCAGAGGCCAGAUCAGGUAGGGCCUCCCAGACCACCACAGGGCACAUGGCUUAUUCUUGGAGUGAGGCGGGAAGUCAUGGGAGGGAACCGAGCAGAAAAGCAGUGUAACUUGAGUUAAGUUUUUUGGUUUGUUUUUAAGUCUAUGUGUUUUGAGAGAGCGAGCAGGGGAGGGGCAGAGAGAGAAUCCCAAACAGUCUCCGCAUUGUCAGCGCAGAGCCCGAUGCAGGGCUUGAACUCACGAACCGUGAGAUCAUGACUUGAGCCAAAAUCAAGAUUUGGGACGCUUAACUGACUGAGCCACCCAGGCGCCCCUUGAAUUAGGUUUUAACAGGUCACUCUGGCUGCUGGAUGGAGAAUAGACCGUGGGCUUGGCAGUGGGAGGGGCAGCAGAAGCAGGGUAUGAUAAGAUCAAAGCAAAACAGGGUUAUGACUAAAAGGGCUAAUAUCAGCCUUGACUGCAAAGUGGACCCAGGGUAGUGAAGUGACCGGACUAUUGUGCUCAGAAAGCCCUUAUCUGCAGCUCUGUACCUGUGUUGGAAAUCAAGGUAACUUCUCCCAUCUUCUAGGAGAGAGACAGGUGCUUCCUUGGUAGUGAUAUCAUUUCAGACUGCAGAUUUUCUAUAAUUUUAGAAAGCAAAAUUCUCAGUGAGUAAGAAAGGGGCAGUCAAUCAAAGAAGGAGGUGACUUUGGUGCCUUACAGGUACGGAGUAUCCUUGGGAGAAAUCUCGUUUCCUGUUAGCUUUGCAAUUAGUGUUGUUGUGUCUGUUAUCCCAGCCUGAAGAAUGGCCAGGCUGAGUGUUUCCUCUCUUGGUCUGAAUCUAAUUUCUGCUUACUCACAAUUAAGGAUCAUUUACUGCAUUUCCUUGUCCUGAGCCUUAAGUGUCUUUUAAUGGACAGUCCCCCAUUUUUUUUUAAACUUUUUUUUUUUUUAAUUUAUUUUUGGGACAGAGAGAGACAGAGCAUGAACGGGGAGGGGCAGAGAGAGAGGGAGACACAGAAUCGGAAACAGGCUCCAGGCUCCGAGCCAUCAGCCCAGAGCCCGACGCGGGGCUCGAACUCGCGGACCGCGAGAUCGUGACCUGACUGAAGUCGGACGCUUAACCGACUGCGCCACCCAGGCGCCCCUACCCCAUUUUUUUUUUAAAUAACAUCAUCUUGCUGAAGAGAAUGAGCCAGUUAUACCAAAUGUCCCACAUCCCGGAUUUCUUUUGUUUCUUCGUUGGUGUGGUUGAAUUUGUUCCUCUGUCUCUUAUGUAUUUUGUGAACUUUAGAUCUGAAAGUUUCAUUGGAUUCAGGUUAAUAAAGACGCUUUCUGAAGAGGAUGCUGCUGACAAGGACAGUGUUAAGAGGAUCUGUUUUCCACAUAGACCUUCCACCCGGCUCUCUCCUAGAUAUUCAAGCAAGAGAAAUGAAAAUGGAUGUCCACACAAAGACUUGUACUUGGAGGGGCAUUAUUCAUAAUGUCCCCAAACUGGAUAUUUGGGACGAGCCAAAUAUCAACAGGUGAACGGGAAACAAUUUGCAAUACAUCCAUAUGGCGAUUACCGCUCAGCAAUGAAAAGGAGCUACACCUUAGAUCCGUCUCAGAAUCACCGUGCUGAGUAAAAGAAACCAGAUGCGAAGGGCCACCUGCUGUAUACGGUGACUGAAAGCAGACCACUAACUGCCUGGAACCUGGGAAAGGAGGAAUUGACUGGAAGGUUGCAGCAGGAGGGAACAUUCCAGAAUGAUGGACAUUUCCUUCCUAUAUCUCGAAUAUGGUGGGGAUGAUACAGGCAUAUAUGUCAGAACUCAUCACAGUGGCUACUUUAAAUGGGUGUGUUGUAUUGCAUUCAAUUAUAUCCCGGUGGGGUUUCGAGCAAAAGAGAAUCUGUGUAGAUCUCUGCUUCUGUGUGUUCUCUCUCCUAAAACCCAUAUGCCUGUGAAAGUGCCCGAGGUCCAAGGUGUUCCCUCCUUUACAGUUGUCCUUCCUCCACUGCACAGAAGUAAGGCAAUCCUUGUCACUCUUGUCAGGACCUACUGAGGAUGUAGUCGUUCUCCAGUAUAAAAACCUGGAUGCCAGACAAAAGCAUCAUGUGAAAUCACCGUGUGUGGCUAAGGAAAGAGAAUGACCCCAGAGACCAGCCAACACAUCCUUUUGCAGUUCUGAUGGUUUCCUCUCUCCCUCCAAUCUCCAUGGAGGAGGCAUGGCUUGUUGGGUGAUAGAUGACUACAAAUAAUUUCUGAUAAUGAGUGACAAUGUGAUAUGUGACAAAUUACACAGGAGUUUCAACAUGUGUGACCUUGAGUCACUUAGCAAUGACAAAAUUUCCAUUCCAGUCCCCUGUUUCUGUGAAAACAUUUCUCAGUAUUUACUACAGUAAAAACAAAACAUUGGAAUAACACUUAUCCUAAAACUCUGUCUCAUUCCAGCCAUGAGGAAUACGUAUCCACAGGUAGAUGAACCUGAAACACACACACACACACACACACACACACACACACACACACACACACACACACACACACACACACACACCACCAGCCCCAUUCAUCUCAUUAAAAGCCUCAUUUAGGGGACACCUGGGUGGCUCAGUUGGUUAAGCAAACAACUUAGGCUCAGGUCAUGAUCUCACGGUUCUUGAAUUCGAGCCCCAUGUCGGGCUCUGAGCUGUCAGCAUAGAACCUGCUUCGGAUUCUGUGUCUCCCUCUCUCUCUGGCCUUCCCCCACUCGUACUCUGUCUCUUUCUCUCUGUCUCUCUCUUUCUCCCCAAAAUAAAUUAAAAAAAAUUUUUUUGAAGCUCCAUUUAGAAUGAAACAUUUUAUAUGUUGUACAUCUGAAACUAGUAUCACACUGUAUGUUAACUAACUAGAAUUUAAAUAAAAACAUUUAGGGGCGCCUGGGUGGCUCAGUCGGUCAAGCGGCCGACUUCGGCUCAGGUCAUGAUCUCGCG